rnacentral:lncRNA from 10 species
AGCUGAACUUUCAGGAAGAUAAGCAGCCCAGACUUGAGUUUCUAGAUGUAUACAACCAGGUGCAUGUCCAAGGCACAGAGGGUGGUAUUUAUAACCCAUAGUAACAUUAAAUGCAGUGUCUUAUUCUCCUGGUUGGGCAGGGCAACAGUUAUCUGUGGCUCCAGGCAUCCACACACUAUUGUUAGUGUAGAUUUCUGCAGAAGCAUCUAUCCAGGUGAGAGGUUGAAUAAGUGGAGGAAAAGGCACAUAAGCCCAAUAAGAAUAUUUAUGUGUAGCAGGUAAAUCAGUGUGAGAGGAAACUGGUGAGACAGAAAGUAUAAGGAGGAGAAUCAUUAAAUAAAACUUAUUGUAAGUGAGAUUCUGAAGAAGGAAGAGAAGAACAGUGUUAAGUAUCCUGGCAAAGGAGCAUUAGGGUUACAGAUAGAAUUGAAGUUGCUCGUCAGCUGAUUGAAGAUAAGGAGAUUGGCCUGGAUUAUCCAGGUAGGCUCAAUGUAAUCAGGAAGGGCCUUUAAAGUGAGAGAGGGAGGCAGAAGAGGAAGUCAGAGCGAUGUGCUGUGAAAUCUACUACCGUUUGCUGGUUUUGAAAAUGGAGAAAAAGAGUGAGGAACUGAGAAACAUGGAUGGCCUUGGGAACGUGGAAAAGGGUCACUGAAAUGGGACGACAUGAACUCAAGGAGGCUAUUUAUGACCAUGUCAUUUGCAACAUGAAGAAAGCUUAUCUGGAGUGAAAGUAAAUGAGACCAACAGAGAUGAGAGACCCGGAGAAAUCCUGGUUACACUGCUUGAAUCCUGUCAGUCCUAUACUGGAGUCCUGUUAAUACAAAAUAAUAGUAAUAAUCCCUCUGUUUCUUAUGUUUAUGCCAACUUCAACAAAAAGAAACUUGACUAAGAGACAAUAUAAGAAUUUAAUGUGUAAUUAAGAAAGAACUCUCCACCACGGGGAAUGUGAAAGGUAUAUGAGUCCCUUUUCACGAUGCGAUGUCAUGUCUUUUAAAUAAGCCAUACUUUAUGUUCAAUAAAAAGAGAAUAAGCAGGAUUCGCAAGAGAACACAAUCCCUUUUUAACUGCUGGGAAGAUACUUUUAGUCAUUAAUGACUGGACGACAAUUUGGGACACAUAUAUGGAUAUUGGCCGGUUUGUGAUGAUGUGAUUGGGCCUCUAAGUGACAACAUUGUUCCCUGUAUAGAGUGAGUGGCAAGUGCAUUUAUAAAAUUGGCCAUCAUGGCUGUUAAAUUUAUGAGUCUAGAAGUGUGCCUCUCAAACAAGUAUUUGAGAGGUUAUCAUGAAGAAAAACAAAAUUAAAAUUAUUCUGCUGAGCUCUCAAAGGCAGAACUAUUGAAUCAAAAUUAUAGGAAGGAAGGUUCAAACCAACAAUAAGAAUGCCUCUCUUGCAUUCCUCAUCACUAGAAGUUUCUGAUAAGAUUUUUAGAAAAAUUUAGACAGUAUUCUUGAAUUGAGCAGGGGGAUAACACAGAGAUAAUUCAAAUGUGGUUUGAUGAACUUCUAAAAUGGUUCCAACUAUAAACUUCAAUUAUUCUAGCCUCCAAGACCUACACAUAACUGUGCAAUGUGCAAAUUAUUCAAUAGUAACAUAGAAUUCUGAAUAAUUAGCAUUUUCUCAUGGUUUGAUAUUUGUAUAAAGCAAUCUUAGCAGUCUGAAUAACUAGAAUACUUCAAAGCAAUAUGUUUUAUUGCUUUAUAUUUAAAGAAACCAUGUCAGACAUUUAAAAUGAAUGGCUGCUAUCAGGAAAAUGGAUCUCAAGACACAAGAAAUAAAUCACAAUGACUUCCUUAUUUGUGGAAAUUCUUCUUGUACUAGAAAGGAAAAGUAGAAGUAUGGGAAAAUGUCUUCCAGAAAAUUACAUUUUCCCAAAGUUUAUUUUAAAUUUUAAUAAUUUAAUCAACCAUCUGAUUCUGAUUUCAAGUGUCACAGAAGUUCAUUUUAUUAUAAACAACAACAAAAAAACUUUGUAGUCUUGUAAACACUGGUGACAGAGAAUAACACCACUAACCAUGCUGAGCAGAAAACAGGAGCCAAGUAAGGGAAAAAGAUUCUUUAUGUCACUCAUCAAUUUAAAAGUGUUUUUCACCCCAGGACCAUCCUGAAGCCAAAACUGGGGAAACAUUUACUACUUUUACAAACAAAAAUUUAUAUUCCAUCCCUUGCAUGAUGUGUGUGUCUCCGACAUUUGGUUUCUGUCUUAAGUGUCUAAAGAAAGGCCUUAUUUAGAGCAAAAUACAUUUUUGUGGGCAUUGAUGUGAAUUUCAGGUCUGGGUUAUCAAUGACCUAAAUUGAGAAAAUAGAGGGGCUGUGUGGACAAGGAGAGAGAAGAGAGCAUACAGCUGCCCUAUGCCGUUGCUCUGUUCACAGUAAGGAUUGAGCCAUUCUAAUCCCCUUGGAUUUUUUAUCUACCAAAACAGCUUGGGCCCAUCAGCAAAUUGCAGUGGCAUAUGGUCCAGGUUUACGAGUAAUCUGGCACAUGAUUAAGGCAAGGGGGAUGUCAUCUUUCAGCAAAUACUGAAAAUAUUGUAGAAGAAUUUGGUAGAGUUUUUAAAUUCAAACUGAUAAAAUUGUAACUAUUAAAUACUUCCCCAAAUCAACAAUUUGGAUUUUGUCAAAUUGAAACUUUCUUUAUUUGUAAGAAGUUACCAUAGGGAAAAAUAAUGUCCAAGAUAUUAAGAAAUAGGAGUUCUGUUUCUCAAUUUUAGGAUCAAUAGCUCGUAUGCUGCUGAUUCAGGAUCUGAUGUGGCUACACACCAUGCUUGUGUUUCAGGGUGGACCAAGUUUACAUUUCUCUGCAGUCAGAUUACCAUUGUACCAACAACUAUUCUAAGGUCCCAGUGAAAUAAUUUGGACAUUUCCAAAAGAGAUAAGAUGUGAAGACAUGUACAAUAAUAGCUGAUGCCUAAUAUAACCUCAUCUGUGUUUCUCAAACUAAAACACAUACUAACAAAAGGCCACAUGAGGACACAGUGAGAAGCUGGAAGUCUACAACCCAGAAGAGAGCCCUCAACAGAACCUAACCAUGCUGGUACCCUGAUCUCAGACAUCCAGCCUCCAGAAGAGUGAAAAAAUAUAAUUCUUAUUUCUAAGCAACCUGGUCUAUGGUAUUUCAUUAUGGCAGCCCAAGCUAAGACAGAUCCCUAUCCUAUUCACCAUGCUGCAGAGCCACAUGAGCCUCCCUUUUGUUCCUCAAGCUCAUCAAAUACCUCCUAGCCUUAGAACUUGCUAUUCCCUCUAACCAGAAUUCUCUUCCAGGUCUUUCCAUCCUGUAAGUCUUGUCCUUUAGAUCGAAAUUCACAUGUGACCUCCCCUGAGAAUGGUCCUCUGAAAACCUAUCUCAAAGAGUGUUCCCAGUUACUCUCUACCUUACCCCCAGGUUAUUAUCUUCCCACCACUUUUCCAUAUUUGUAAUCAUUUGCUUUUGUAUAUGUGUGAUAUGGUUAGGCUUAGUGUCCCUACCCAAAUCUCGUGUUAAAUUGUAAUCCCCAGGGAGAUUACAAUUUAGGGAGAGACCUGGUGGGAAGUGAUUGGAUUAUGGGGGUGGGUUCCCCCAUGCUGUUCUCGUGAUAGUGAGUGAAUUCUCAUAAGAUCUAAUGGUUUUGUAAAUGGUAGUUUUUCCUGUGCUGACUCAUUCUCUCUCCUGCUGCCUUGUGAAGAGGUGCCUUCUGUCAUGACUGUAAGUUUCCUGAAGCUUCCCCAACCAUGGGGAACUGUGAGUCAAUUAAAC